CGGCGCACGGGUGAGUAACACGUAUCCAACCUGCCGUCUACUCUUGUACAGCCUUCUGAAAGGAAGAUUAAUACAAGAUGGCAUCAUGAGUCCGCAUGUUCACAUGAUUAAAGGUAUUCCGGUAGACGAUGGGGAUGCGUUCCAUUAGAUAGUAGGCGGGGUAACGGCCCACCUGGUCUUCGAUGGAUAGGGGUUCUGAGAGGAAGGUCCCCCACAUUGGAACUGAGACACGGUCCAAACUCCACGGGAGGCAGCAUG
rnacentral:rRNA from 1 species